rnacentral:piRNA from 1 species
UACAACCCAAAUAUGGAUAAAGAUCAGGUC